rnacentral:rRNA from 1 species
AGACCCGAAACCCGGUGAUCUAGCCAUGGGCAGGUUGAAGGUUGGGUAACACUAACUGGAGGACCGAACCGACUAAUGUUGAAAAAUUAGCGGAUGACCUGUGGCUGGGGGUGAAAGGCCAAUCAAACCGGGAGAUAGCUGGUUCUCCCCGAAAGCUAUUUAGGUAGCGCCUCGUGAAUUCAUCUCCGGGGGUAGAGCACUGUUUCGGCUAGGGGGCCAUCCCGGCUUACCAACCCGAUGCAAACUGCGAAUACCGGAGAAUGUUAUCACGGGAGACACACGGCGGGUGCUAACGUCCGUCGUGAAGAGGGAAACAACCCAGACCGCCAGCUAAGGUCCCAAAGUCAUGGUUAAGUGGGAAACGAUGUGGGAAGGCCCAGACAGCCAGGAUGUUGGCUUAGAAGCAGCCAUCAUUUAAAGAAAGCGUAAUAGCUCACUGGUCGAGUCGGCCUGCGCGGAAGAUGUAACGGGGCUAAACCAUGCACCGAAGCUGCGGCAGCGAAGGUAUCACCCAAGACAACUUUACGGAGUUGACGAUUGACGGAGCGAAGCGACGUCAAAGCGUAUACAAAGUCGAGUUGGCUUAGGGAUACGUUCGUUGGGUAGGGGAGCGUUCUGUAAGCCUGUGAAGGUGGCCUGUGAGGGUUGCUGGAGGUAUCAGAAGUGCGAAUGCUGACAUAAGUAACGAUAAAGCGGGUGAAAAGCCCGCUCGCCGGAAGACCAAGGGUUCCUGUCCAACGUUAAUCGGGGCAGGGUGAGUCGACCCCUAAGGCGAGGCC